rnacentral:rRNA from 1 species
GACGAACGCUGGCGGCGUGCUUAACACAUGCAAGUCGAACGGAAAGGCCCUGCUUUUGUGGGGUGCUCGAGUGGCGAACGGGUGAGUAACACGUGAGUAACCUGCCCUUGACUUUGGGAUAACUUCAGGAAACUGGGGCUCAUACCGGAUAGGAGCUCCUGCUGCAUGGUGGGGGUUGGAAAGAUUCGGCGGUUGGGGAUGGACUCGCGGCUUAUCAGCUUGUUGGUGGGGUAGUGGCUUACAAAGGCUUUGACGGGUAGCCGGCCUGAGAGGGUGACCGGCCACAUUGGGACUGAGAUACGGCCCAGACUCCUACGGGAGGCAGCAGUGGGGAAUAUUGCACAAUGGGCGGAAGCCUGAUGCAGCAACGCCGCGUGCGGGAUGACGGCCUUCGGGUUGUAAACCGCUUUCGCCUGUGACGAAGCGUGAGUGACGGUAAUGGGUAAAGAAGCACCGGCUAACUACGUG